rnacentral:rRNA from 1 species
AUGACCUCACGGGGGUGGGAUGACCCGCUAGACUUAAGCAUAUUAAUCAGCGGAGGAAAAGAAACUAACAAGGAUUCCCCUAGUAACUGCGAGUGAAGAGGGAUUAGCUCAAUGUGUGAAUCAGGUUAGGAUUAGCUCCUUGUCUGAGUUGUGCACUAUAGACGGCGGAUCAGCGCUUGAGAGGUCGAGGUGUUCAUYCGAUGAAGMYCGUUGCCAUUGAGGGUCAUAGUCCUGUACUUGCCUUGUUACCUCUUGCGCAUUUGACCGACGUUCUGCGAGUCGCGUAGUUUUGUAUUGCUGCGCUAAUUGGGAGGUAGAGCCCUUCUAAAGCUAAAUAUGAUGACGUGACCGAUAGCACACAAGUACCGCGAGGGAAAGGUGAAAAGCAACCAUGCAGAAUGGGUUGAAACAGAAGUGAAAGCGCUACUGGGAUAAGGGCUGGGAAUUGCUUGUGUCAUUUGCGCGUGCUUUAGUGCUGUGCUUGUGAACGGCAUGCUUUAGUUAGGACGGGGAGAACAGGGCCUUGGGAAUUCGGCUGGAUCCGUCCAG